rnacentral:rRNA from 8 species
AAACCAACAGGGAUUGCCCCAGUAACGGCGAGUGAAGCGGCAACAGCUCAAAUUUGAAAUCUGGCUCUCGGGCCCGAGUUGUAAUUUGUAGAGGAUGCUUUUGGUGAGGUGCCUUCCGAGUUCCCUGGAACGGGACGCCAUAGAGGGUGAGAGCCCCGUCUGGUUGGACGCCGAACCUCUGUAAAGCUCCUUCGACGAGUCGAGUAGUUUGGGAAUGCUGCUCUAAAUGGGAGGUAUAUGUCUUCUAAAGCUAAAUACCGGCCAGAGACCGAUAGCGCACAAGUAGAGUGAUCGAAAGAUGAAAAGAACUUUGAAAAGAGAGUUAAACAGUACGUGAAAUUGUUGAAAGGGAAGCGCUUGUGACCAGACUUGGGCUUGGUUGAUCAUCCGGGGUUCUCCCCGGUGCACUCUUCCGGCCCAGGCCAGCAUCAGUUCGCCCUGGGGGACAAAGGCAUCGGGAACGUGGCUCUCUCCGGGGAGUGUUAUAGCCCGUUGCGUAAUACCCUGCGGCGGACUGAGGUUCGCGCAUUCGCAAGGAUGCUGGCGUAAUGGUCAUCAGUGAC